rnacentral:misc_RNA from 1 species
GAUGAAGAACGUAGCGAAAUGUGAUACGUAAUGUGAAUUGCAAAUUCAGUGAAUCAUCGAGUCUUUGAACGCACAUUGCGCCCCCUGGUAUUCCGGGGGGCAUGCCUGUCCGAGCGUCAUUGCUGCCCUCAAGCACGGCUUGUGUGUUGGGCCCCGUCCUCCGAUCCCGGGGGACGGGCCCGAAAGGCAGCGGCGGCACCGCGUCCGGUCCUCGAGCGUAUGGGGCUUUGUCACCCGCUCUGUAGGCCCGGCCGGCGCUUGCCGAUCAACCCAAAUUUUUUAUCCAGGUUGACCUCGGAUCAGGUAGGGAUACCCGCUGAACUUAAGCAUAUCAAUAAGCGGAGGA